AGAUUAAACUCAAGAGUUUGAUCCUGGCUCAGGAUGAACGCUGGCGGCAUGCCUAACACAUGCAAGUCGAACGAGGUGUACUUGUACACCUAGUGGCGGACGGGUG
rnacentral:rRNA from 1 species